UAUGCCGCGUGAGUGAAGAAGGCCUUCGGGUUGUAAAGCUCUUUUGUCAGGGAAGAAACACCGGCUCUAACACAGUCCGGGAAUGACGGUACCUGAAGAAUAAGCACCGGCUAACUACGUGCCAGCAGCCGCGGUAAUGCGCAGGGUGCGAGCGUUAAUCGGAAUUACUGGGCGUAAAGCGUGCGCAGGCGGUUGUACAAGACAGGCGUGAAAUCCCCGGGCUUAACCUGGGAAUGGCGCCUGUGACUGUACGGCUAGAGUGUGUCAGAGGGGGGUAGAAUUCCACGUGUAGCAGUGAAAUGCGUAGAUAUGUGGAGGAAUACCAAUGGCGAAGGCAGCCCCCUGGGAUAACACUGACGCUCAUGCACGAAAGCGUGGGGAGCAAACAGGAUUAGAUACCCUGGUAGUCCACGCCCUAAACGAUGCUGACUAGUUGUUCGGGAUUUACAUCCUGAGUAACGUAGCUAACGCGUGAAGUCAGCCGCCUGGGGAGUACGGUCGCAAGAUUAAAACUCAAAGGAAUUGACGGGGACCCGCACAAGCGGUGGAUGAUGUGGAUUAAUUCGAUGCAACGCGAAAAACCUUAGCUACCCUUGACAUGUCACUAACGAAGUAGAGAUACAUUAGGGUGCUCGUAAGAGAAAGUG
rnacentral:rRNA from 1 species